rnacentral:rRNA from 1 species
UGGGGAAUUUUGGACAAUGGGCGAAAGCCUGAUCCAGCAAUGCCGCGUGUGUGAAGAAGGCCUUCGGGUUGUAAAGCACUUUUGUCCGGAAAGAAAUCCUUGGCUCUAAUACAGUCGGGGGGAUGACGGUACCGGAAGAAUAAGCACCGGCUAACUACGUGCCAGCAGCCGCGGUAAUACGUAGGGUGCAAGCGUUAAUCGGAAUUACUGGGCGUAAAGCGUGCGCAGGCGGUUUGCUAAGACCGAUGUGAAAUCCCCGGGCUCAACCUGGGAACUGCAUUGGUGACUGGCAGGCUAGAGUAUGGCAGAGGGGGGUUAGAAUUCCACGUGUAGCAGUGAAAUGCGUAGAGAUGUGGAGGAAUACCGAUGGCGAAGGCAGCCCCCUGGGCCAAUACUGACGCUCAUGCACGAAAGCGUGGGGAGCAAAACAGGAUUAGAUACCCUGGUAGUCCACGCCCUAAACGAUGUCAACUAGUUGUUGGGGGACUUCAUUUUCCUUAGUAACGUAGCUAACGCGUGAAGUUGACCGCCUGGGGAGUACGGUCGCAAGAUUAAAACUUAAAUGAAUUGACGGGGU